rnacentral:rRNA from 1 species
UACAGAGGGUGCAAGCGUUAAUCGGAGUUACUGGGCGUAAAGGGCGCGUAGGCGGUAGUAUGGGUGUGAUGUGAAAGCCCCGGGCUUAACCUGGGAAGGGCAUCGCAAACUAUAAUACUGGAGUAUAUGAGAGGGUGGCGGAAUUUCCGGUGUAGCGGUGAAAUGCGUAGAGAUCGGAAGGAACGUCAAUGGCGAAGGCAGCCACCUGGCAUAAUACUGACGCUGAGGCGCGAAAGCGUGGGGAGCGAAC